CACGUAGGGCGCAAGCGUUGUCCGGAAUUAUUGGGCGUAAAGAGCUCGUAGGCGGUCUGUUGCGUCCGCUGUGAAAACUCGGGGCUUAACCCCGAGCCUGCAGUGGAUACGGGCAGACUAGAGGUAGGUAGGGGAGAAUGGAAUUCCCGGUGUAGCGGUGAAAUGCGCAGAUAUCGGGAGGAACACCGGUGGCGAAGGCGGUUCUCUGGGCCGUUACCUGACGCUGAGGAGCGAAAGCGUGGGGAGCGAACAGG
rnacentral:rRNA from 1 species